GACGAACGCUGGCGGCGUGCUUAACACAUGCAAGUCGAACGGAAAGGCCCUGCUUUUGUGGGGUGCUCGAGUGGCGAACGGGUGAGUAACACGUGAGUAACCUGCCCUUGACCUUGGGAUAACUUCAGGAAACUGGGGCUAAUACCGGAUAGGAGCUCCUGCUGCAUGGUGUGGGAUGGAAAGUUUCGGCGGUUGGGGCUGGACUCGCGGCUUAUCAGCUUGUUGGUGGGGUAGUGGCUUACCAAGGCCUUGACGGGUAGCCGGCCUGAGAGGGUGACCGGCCACAUUGGGACUGCGAUACGGCCCAGACUCCAACGGGAGGCAGUGGUGGGGAAUAUUGCACAAUGGGCGGAAGCCUGAUGCAGCAACGCCGCGUGCGUGAUGACGUCUUUCGGGUUGUAAACCGCUGUCGCCUGUGACGAAGCGGGAGUGACGGUAAUGGGUAAAGAAGCACCGGCUAACUACGUG
rnacentral:rRNA from 1 species